GUGGGAGGAGAGCAAUACUCUAGGUCACCUUUCCCCUUUCCGAAUUCCCCGCACCAGUUCACACCAGCAACUGAGAUUUAGGCCUGUUUUCCUGAAGGGCCUCAGCCAGUCCCUGCACUUAGUAGGCAUGCAAUAAACCUUGAAAGCCCAAAUGAAUGAUGCUGCUUCCCUAGGCACAUGGUACUUAGGGGUGAGAUUUCUCACAUAGGUCAGUUCGAUGAAGCUUGAUGGCAACAGUUGUUCACUUUGAAUCAAAGAAUAACUCUUAAUUGGUGUGCUGUCAUCAACCAGAAGUUUCCAAGUAUGUGUCCUCCAAUUCAAAGAGAAGAAGCUGGAUGCAAGCAAACAUACUCAUGGUGACUCUCUGCACAUGAUGCAUCUCCAGAGAAAGUUGCUUCAACAUUCUUUUUUGUUUUCGGAACACUUCUUACAAUAUACCCCAACUACUGCAUAGCAUCCUACGUUCAUCCAGAUUUGUCCCAGGUCUGAAUUCUUGGUCUUCCUGCCACCCUCUAAUUCCACAGAUAAAGAAGAAAUAAUAAUAAAGGAAUAAAAAUCGUU
ensembl:lncRNA